UUAACUCAAAUUUGUAUGCAGUUGGAACAACGCCCCUAGCGGCAAACGUAGACAAAGAUUCCAACUCCAUACAAAUUUGUGUUA
rnacentral:pre_miRNA from 1 species